GACGAACGCUGGCGGCGUGCUUAACACAUGCAAGUCGAGCGGUAAGGCCCUUUCGGGGGUACACGAGCGGCGAACGGGUGAGUAACACGUGGGUGACCUGCCCUCAGCUCUGGGAUAAGCCUGGGAAACCGGGUCUAAUACUGGAUAUGACUCCAUGACGCAUGUUGUGGGGUGGAAAGCCUUGUGCGGCUGAGGAUGGGCCCGCGGCCUAUCAGCUUGUUGGUGGGGUGANGGCCUACCAAGGCGACGACGGUAGCCGGCCUGAGAGGCGACCGGCCACACUGGGACUGAGACACGGCCCAGACUCCUACGGGAGGCAGCAGUGGGGAAUCUUGCGCAAUGGGCGAAAGCCUGACGCAGCGACGCCGCGUGAGGGAU
rnacentral:rRNA from 1 species